UUCAGGAUCGGUCGAUGGUAGAGCGAGCGGCUGUUAACCGCUAAGUUCAAGGUUCGAGUCCUUAUGGGGGAG
rnacentral:tRNA from 1 species